rnacentral:rRNA from 1 species
UACGUAGGCAGCGAGCGUUGUUCGGAAUUACUGGGCGUAAAGAGUGUGUAGGCGGUGCUCUAAGUUCGGUGUGAAAUCUCCCGGCUUAACUGGGAGGGUGCGCCGGAAACUGGAGUGCUCGAGCGUGGGAGAGGAAAGCGGAAUUCCUGGUGUAGCGGUGAAAUGCGUAGAUAUCAGGAGGAACACCAAUAGCGAAGGCAGCUCGCUGGGACGUUACUGACACUAAGGCGCGAAAGCGUGGGGAGCGAACAGG